CGCCGACGUUCUUCGCGUAACGGCCGCCUUUUCCGCGCGUAUGCGUUCGCUGGUCCCGCCGACCAGCCGAAUUGAUUGCUCUGCCGAGUGUUGGUGCGUUGUGCAUUCUUCGGGGCUGUGCGCUGUGCUGUUCUCGACUGUGACUGUCACUCCGAAGAAGGAAGAAGUGUCGCUACAUGAGAUAAAAACGCUGUCAACUCCAGAUAUACACAAAUAAACGAAAGAAAGAGCUCUCGGGUGAAAGUGUGCAUGUGCGCUAGAGAAUGUUGUCACGGAUGAAUUGAGACGACGAAGAAGAAGAUGCAUCAGUCGGUAUCAGUCGAGGCUGCAGCGGCCUCGCCAGGAGGUCGACGACUCUCUAGGAGCUUCCAUUCGUGUCUUCGCGGAGCUGAUCCCGAUGACACGG